rnacentral:rRNA from 1 species
GUAGGUGGCAAGCGUUGUCCGGGAAUUAUUGGGGCGUAAAGCGCGCGCAGGCGGUUCUUUAAGUCUGAUGUGAAAGCCCACGGGCUCAACCGUGGAGGGUCAUUGGAAACUGGAGAACUUGAGUACAGAAGAGGAAAGCGGAAUUCCACGUGUAGCGGUGAAAUGCGUAGAGAUGUGGAGGAACACCAGUGGCGAAGGCGGCUUUCUGGUCUGUAACUGACGCUGAGGCGCGAAAGCGUGGGGAGCAGACAGGAUUAGAUACCCUGGUAGUCCACGCCGUAAAGGAUGAGUGCUAAGUGUUAGGGGGUUUCCGCCCCUUAGUGCUGCAGCUAACGCAUUAAGCACUCCGCCUGGGGAGUACGGCCGCAAAGGCUG